AAACCCAAGGGCGGUGCCGGGAUUUGGUGCGCACGCGCGCUGCCUCAUUUCCGGUGCUCUCUCUGGCUGGGUCGCUCGGGUCGGCUUCGGUCGCUGUUGCUCCCGCUCUACCACCGCCGCCACCAACCGCCGCCCGGGCCUCGGCCGCUGCCGCGUCGGUCCCCUCGAUCGCUCGAUCGCACAUCCUCCGCGAUGCAGCGCCGGGACGACCCCGCCGCGCGCAUGACCCGGUCCUCGGGCCGCAGUGGCUCCAUGGACCCCUCGGGUGCCCACCCCUCGGUGCGUCAGACGCCGUCUCGGCAACCGCCGCUGCCUCACCGGUCCCGGGGAGGCGGAGGGGGGCCCCGGGGGGGCGCCCGGGCCUCGCCCGCCACGCAGCCGCCGCCACUGCUGCCGCCCUCGGCCACGGGUCCCGACGCGACGGUGGGUGGUCCGGCGCCGACCCCGCUGCUGCCCCCAUCAGCCACGGCCUCGGUCAAGAUGGAGCCUGAGAACAAGUACCUGCCCGAACUCAUGGCCGAGAAGGACUCGCUCGACCCGUCCUUCACUCAUGCCAUGCAGCUGCUGACUGCAGAAAUUGAGAAGAUUCAGAAAGGGGAUUCAAAAAAGGAUGAUGAGGAGAAUUACUUGGAUUUAUUUUCUCAUAAGAACAUGAAGCUGAAAGAGCGGGUACUGAUUCCUGUCAAGCAGUAUCCCAAGUUCAAUUUUGUUGGAAAGAUUCUUGGACCACAAGGAAAUACAAUAAAAAGGCUGCAGGAAGAGACUGGUGCAAAGAUCUCUGUGUUGGGAAAGGGUUCAAUGAGAGACAAAGCCAAGGAGGAAGAGCUGCGCAAAGGUGGAGACCCUAAAUAUGCCCACUUGAACAUGGAUCUGCAUGUCUUCAUUGAAGUCUUUGGACCUCCAUGUGAGGCUUAUGCUCUCAUGGCCCAUGCCAUGGAGGAAGUCAAGAAGUUUCUAGUACCAGAUAUGAUGGAUGAUAUCUGCCAGGAGCAAUUUCUGGAGCUGUCCUACUUGAAUGGAGUACCUGAGCCCUCUCGUGGACGAGGGGUGCCAGUGAGGGGCCGGGGAGCCGCACCUCCCCCUCCACCUGUUCCAAGGGGCCGUGGAGUUGGACCACCUCGGGGGGCUCUGGUGCGUGGUACACCAGUGAGAGGAGCCAUCACCAGAGGUGCCACUGUGACUCGAGGAGUGCCACCCCCACCUACUGUGAGGGGUGCUCCAACACCAAGAGCACGGACAGCAGGCAUCCAGAGGAUACCUUUGCCUCCACCCCCUGCACCAGAAACAUAUGAAGAAUAUGGAUAUGAUGACACAUAUGCAGAACAGAGCUAUGAAGGCUAUGAAGGCUAUUACAGUCAGAGCCAAGGGGACUCAGAAUAUUAUGACUAUGGACAUGGGGAGGUUCAAGAUUCUUAUGAAGCUUAUGGCCAAGACGACUGGAAUGGGACCAGGCCAUCACUGAAGGCCCCUCCAGCUAGGCCAGUGAAGGGCGCAUACAGAGAACAUCCAUAUGGACGUUAUUAAAAACAAACAGGAGGGGAAAAUAGCAGUUAUGAGCAAAGUUGUUACUGAUUUCUUGUAUCUCCCAGGAUUCCUGUUGCUUUACCCACAACAGACAAGUGAUUGAAAACUCCUGAGGCACUUCCCAGAGUAGACUGGGUAAUGAAGACCGCUAUCAGGUGGCCGCAACAGCUGGAACUGAGCCGAUCUGAAGUCAGGAGCCAGGAGCUUUUUCUGGGUCUCCCAAGGACUUGGCCAUCUUUCACUGCUUUCUCAGGCCAUAGCAGAGAGCUGGAUUGGAAGAGGAGCAGCUGGGACUGGAACUGGUGCCCAUAUGGGAUGCCGCCACCACAGGGGGAGGAUUAACCUGUGCCACAGUGCCAGCCCCCAAAUUGAAUUUUUUGUCUUUUUAUUAUAGGUUCUGGAUCAGAUAUAUGAUUUGCAAAUAUUUUCUGCCAUUCAACUUAGUGUCAUUUUACUUUGAAGCACAGAAGUUUUUCAUUUUGAUGAGGUCCAAUUAUCUGUUGUUUCUUUUGUUUCUUGUACUUUUGAUGGUGUAUGCAAGAAACCAUUUGUCUCAUUCAAGGUCAGGAAGAUUUACAUCCCCAAUCUCUUCCGAGAGGGUUUUUUUUUUUUUUAAUAUUGAUUUAUUUUCACCUACUUGAAAGGCAGAUUUACAAAGAGAGAGCCAUCUUCUCACAGGUUCACUCCCCAAAUACCUACAACAGCCAGGACUGGCCCAGACCAAAGCCAGGAAUCCAGAAUUCCAUCUGGGUCUCCCACAUGGUCUCUGACAUGGCCCAGACACUUGAGGUAUCAUCUGUUGCCUCCUGAGUGUGCAGUAGCAGGAAGCUGGCUUGGAAAUUGAGUAGCUGGGACUCAGACUGGCACUCUGAUAUGGAAUGCAACUGUUCUGGGUGGCUUAACCUGCUGUACCACAGUGUCCACUCCAUUGGACAGUGUUUUAGACUUUUUUCCUUAUUUAUUUUUUAAAUUUAUUUGAAAGGCAGAUUUAUAGAGAGACAUCUUCUGUCUGCUGGUUCACUCUUCAAGUGGCUGCAAUGGCCAGUGGUGGGCCAGGCCAAAGCCGGAAGUCAGGAACUCCAUUUCGAUCUUCCACAUAGGUGGCAGGGGCCCAAGUACUCAGCCCAUCUUCUGCUUUCCCAAGCAUAUUAACAAGAAGCUAGAUCAAAAGCAAAGCAGUCAGGACUCAAACCCUUGCUCAUACAGGAUGCCUGCACCACAGAUGGUAGCUUAACCCCUGAGCCACAACCUCUGCCUCAAGUUUUUAUUACAUUUAUGAAUCCGUGAGGUAGGGAUUCAGAUCAUUAUUUAAAAGAAAAAUUAUUUAUUUACUUAUUUGAAAGGCAGAGUUACAGAGAGGGAGAAGAGUCAGAGAUAGAUCUUCCAUCUAUGGGUUCACUCCCCAGAUGGCAUCAAUGGCCAAGGCUAGGCCAUACCAGAGCUGAGCCGGGAACUUAUCCAGGUUUCCCAAGUUUCCCAGGUGGAUGGCAGGAGCCCAGACACUUGGGCCAUCUUCCACUGUUCUGCCCAGGCCAUUAACAGGGAGCUGGAUUGGAAGUAAAGCAGCCAAGACACAGACCAGUGCCACUGUGGGAUGCCGGUGUUAGAGGUGGCAGAUUUACCCACUAUGCCACAAUGCUGGUCCCUCAGAUCAUUCUUUGCAUGUGAAUAUUUGUUUGUCCAGCACCAUUUGUCAGACUUUUCUUUCUCCAAUGUGUGAUCUUGACCCCUGUGAGAAACCUGUUGAUUCAUAUGGACCUGCCUUUUGAAGUAGGUUUUCCUUAGUGGUGAGUGCCACCCGAGGCAUAUCAGAGCUGCUCAGUGCUAAAUAUAGCUGAUCGGAUUAUUGGCUUCACAGAGCUUUAAGUGAUGGAACUGAGAUUUGAUUCCAGGUGGGGCAACGGCAAAGCAUGCACAUGAGGUGGCCCUGGCUGCUACACCUGACCAUAGGGAGUUCUCCAGAAACUCAGACUGAGCUCCAUUGUGCCCAGCCAUCAUCAUCGCCCAUAUGUCCAUCUGUCCCCGCUUUCCUCUCCACACAGUGUCCGUGAAGACUGGGAGUGACUCUGGUCAAUGACAGUUACUACUAAGGGAACACUCACCCAGAGAUGCAGCCUUAGCUGCCUUAGCGUUUUCCUGUUCUCUCUCAACUUGUUCCCGGGCUGAAAAUGAAGUUAGAGAUGCAUCAAGAGCUGCUUGGGUUUUCUCACCACCAAGGAUGAAACUCUGGUGGUUUUUUUGUUUCAGGAACAGCAACACCAUGAUUUGGUCCCCAGAAGGCUUCUUGCCCACAGCUGUGCACAGUGUUCCUGAACCAACCUCGAGGACCGGAAGCCCCGGAGGGCUGGCUGCUGUGGAGGCUGGCCUGAGGGCCUGUGCUGAGCCCAGAGAAGCCCAGGAGAGCGGCUCAGCAGCCUUGUACUACCCCCUCUGAUCUGAUUCACUCAGAGAGCCUGUGGGCCCGGAGUGGAAUCCUCGGGUGGCGGGGGACUGGGAUGCUGUGAGUUUCACCUAUUCCAGGCUUUGCAGAGUCGAGGGGCGCCUAGAACAAAAUAAACUGGGCUCUCCUGGGGUGCUACUGUGCCCAGCCUGCCUGGUCCCUCUUACUUGGCCUCUUGCAGAACUGGUAGGGACACCCAGUCACCACUUCGUAUUCCCCCGACACACCUAUGUUGUGCGUGUCAGCCUAGGAGCCCCUUCUGAGAGGCCAAGGAAAGCCAUAGUAAGACAGUGCAUUUACCCUGGGCAAGUUAACUUAGUCUCUGAGCCUGUUUUUCUCUUUGCCAUUGACUACUUACCUUGUCCAAAAAUCUCUUGAAGAGUAGGGCUUUUUUCCUGCCUCCCAUCUGUACUAUAUUUCUUCCCGACAAGUCUGCCCCUGAGCAGCUCAAUAAAGAUGCGGUCACGUGA